rnacentral:rRNA from 1 species
CCAGACUCCUACGGGAGGCAGCAGUGGGGAAUAUUGGGCAAUGGGCGCAAGCCUGACCCAGCAACGCCGCGUGAAGGAAGAAGGCUUUCGGGUUGUAAACUUCUUUUCUGGGGGACGAAGAAAGUGACGGUACCUCAGGAAUAAGCCACGGCUAACUACGUGCCAGCAGCCGCGGUAAUACGUAGGUGGCAAGCGUUAUCCGGAUUUAUUGGGUGUAAAGGGCGUGUAGGCGGGAAAGCAAGUCAGAUGUGAAAACUCAGGGCUCAACCCUGAGCCUGCAUUUGAAACUGUUUUUCUUGAGUGCUGGAGAGGCAAUCGGAAUUCCUAGUGUAGCGGUGAAAUGCGUAGAUAUUAGGAGGAACACCAGUGGCGAAGGCGGUCUGCUGGACAGCAACUGACGCUGAGGCGCGAAAGCGUGGGGAGCAAACAGGAUUAGAUACCCCCGUAGC